rnacentral:lncRNA from 1 species
GCAGCAGCCGCCGAUAAUUUCAGCUUUGACUGUAGUCUGGUCUCUCCCUCUCUUCUACACUCCCACUCUCCGAUUCUCUCAUUCAUUUUUGUCCCACUCAAUCGGAGUGUUUGUCUCUCAGUGUGUCUCUGUCGCCAUGUGCGUACGCGUAUGGACCAGCUUCUCCUUCCCCCGCGCCAGCCACAUGGAGCGCACAAAUGAAACUCUUUGCCUAAUAUUCCAUUAACGGGCUUAUUAAGGCAGCACGUAUUGCUGCCAUCAGACUGCGGACGACCAGCUCGGCCCAUGGGACAACCCACACAAACACCAAUACGCGUGCACCCAGGAAGACAGUCAGACAGAGACACAGAGUAAGUAAGAGAGUGAGAGAGAGAGAGAGCGAGAGAGAGUAGUUUAAUAAAAGGUACUGAUGCAUAAAUGGGUGUUUGUAUCUAAAUUGAUCGAAUUUGGGGACACACACAAGAAAAAAGCGGGGCAGGCAGAUGAGCAGCAGCGGACAGCAGUGGGGGGAAACAGACAACGGCAGAAGAGACGUUGCGCGAUGCGCCGCGUGUACUGUCCAGGUAGAAAUUCCCCCAGUGGUGGAAACAGAAAACAGUUGAAAGCAAGUAAGAAUGAUAAAGGGAAUGCAGCGACUAUGGAGUUACCCUAUAACUCGGGUAGGGAACAAGCAAGAAAGUGGAAACCAUGGAGAAUUUUGCCAUCGGAAUGGAUAUUGGUAGAUGGCUACAAAUGGGUCGUCCUGUUCUGGAUGUAAUACAGUGAUGGAAUUAUAGGUCACAGCAUCCUCGUUUAUUUCAUAACAGAGUAUAUACCCACCACCAUCCCUACAGGGAAUACACCGAUGCGACCGCGACUCUUUGACUUCGACUUUGACUGUGACUUGGACUUGGAUAGGGACGGCGGCGGCUGCUAAAGCAGGUACAAUUUUAUAAUUUCGUUUCGUGUUUAAUUAAAGGUGAAGUUUUAGAGAAAUAAUAAAGAAUUAUCGAGAGCUCGACCAGGGCCAGGGCCAGCAGUCAGAGCCCAAGAAGUCAGAACCAGAUGAUGCCCCCCACUCCACAGUACACACACAUACAAAAAACACAACCGAAUUGAACAUUGAUCGUAAAACGAUGAGACGGAUGCGAGUAUUGGGAACAGAACCCAAAAAAAACAACCGUUUUCCUUCGCUACAUACUCUGACUUAGACUCAGGCGACGGCGAUCAUUAUGCCAUAAAUAAAGAUUCGUUCCGUGCAUCUCUCGGUCAGCUAUGGGAAAAGUAUAUGGAUAAAGCAUUUUUAUUGCGGGCACACACACAUAAAGUCUGUUCCCCUUGGAGCAACCUAAGCCUAGACUCUUAAAUUGGGUUCGCCCAUAAUUAUGGCUUCAGUUAUGAGCGAAGUUCAGUUAUUGUUGGCCCCGGCAAUGUACAAAUCAAUGUUUGGAAUACAAGAAAUUUAAUUGCCCAAAGAAAAGAUCGAGUUGGGUUUUGUUUAAGUUUGUUCUUUGAAAUGUUGAUUGUUUUGGACAUUUCUUCGAUUGCUACAGUCAGAGGCCAUCAUCAAUCACAAAAUAUGUACAAUAUAUGAAAAUUACGAGUUUGAGUAGAAAAUAUUAUAUUUAACUUAUUUUAUAUGCAAAUCAAUUUAUUUUCCUGUGCAAUGGAAAGCACAUUUUUUUUAUUUAUUUCAUACAAAUUGUGUAUCAUCAAACAAAUUUGGGAAUUUGUCAAUUCCUCAAGCGAAUAUGUUUGGACAAGCUUAAUGACAACACUUGUCAAAAUCAGACAACACAAACUAAUCAUUUUCAUUCCGUGCAGAGAGGCAGAUCGGCGAGAGAGCGCGUGCCAAACACUCAGCAGUGGUCCGCGUCUCCGUCUCCAUACCCGCUGCCCAUUCCACGUUCCACAUUUCCCUUUCAACAUAGAACGAACCAUGACGCCGAUGACGGCUACGCGAUGGCGAUGACGAGGCACUUGACGAGGCAGCCAGCACUGUUUGACGGUUGCCCUGCCGACUCUUCCCUAUGACAAAUUUGUUGCUCCACACUAGAGAUGUCAAACUAUCGACAGGGGAACGGAACGAACCAUGACCAUUCAAUUGUUUUGGUUUACUGCCGAAGGUGUAACAACUCUCUUGAGAAAAUUAAAUCAGAACUGAAAAUCUGAUAUUUUGGAACAUUUUUCGCUGAUCUAACUAGGACAUCUGCCUGGACAGCUGGGUAACUGCAAAAUAUUCCGAAAAAUCAAUCACAGUUCCAUCGCUAACAACUUCCCUUCUACAGGAUGAUAUGUUAAUACUCUUACUUCUUACUUCCUAUAAUUUCCAAAAAAUUGCAUCACUGGAGUAAGUACAGCAUGUAAACUAAUGGAACACUUUGAGGCACGAGCCUGGGGCAUCGCUUAUCGGCAUCGGUCAUCGCUUGCCACGCCCGCAACGAGCCCGCUGAAGUGUCUGCACUUACGGUUUUAUCGCUUGGCCUUUCACCCGGCGACCCAGCGACCCAGCGACCGGGGCUCGAGCCCGGAAUGAGCUGCAAACAAUUUUACGACAUUGACAACAACGGCAACAAACAAGAGUAAACCACAGAGACAACCAGCACAAGACAAUUGUGACCGGGCUGGGCAUGGCAUGGGUCCCGGUCUGGGCUCGGGCGUACUAAAAUCGAAGGCAAUAAAAUUCUCUAAUUGUUUUUUCGCCAAAGCAAACAAUUGAGAUUGAGAGCGCCCUGGGUUCGAGGCUAAUUGAUUCACACUUUCUUUUUGGCUGUAAAACACACGAUGUAAGGCAUGGCGGGAGAGGAGAGGAGAGGUCCUCGCUCGCUGAGUGUUUGAUCAACAGCAGAGUUCGAGCCACGAUUAAAUCUUUACUGCUCUUCACUCUAGUGACAUUUAAUUGGUUUUUAUAGAGCGUGUGUCUCCCUAAAAACCAACCCAAGCUUCACCCCCACAGUGGUGGUAUCCAUUCUGGCAGCUUAAUUGGCCCCCAAUUCAAUGUGGUUAGGCAAAUCAAAAACAAACUGGACAAGUGCCCUGGCUCGAGCACUUUGUUAGACCCAAAUUACAGGGGAUCUCGAUCCAAAGAAAACGAAUGAUGAUGAUGAGGCAAAUACCACAUAGAACACGGAGUGGGAAGCACCACUGACAACGAGUUAGACGAGUAGAUAAUGAUGUUGUGAUGUCAAAACAACAACCUGACUGACGUCUGCUCUGGUCUGGCCUGUCAAGUGACGGAUGGCGCGUGAGGAUCACAGUCGGCUAGGGGAGUGGAGUGGAGCCACUUGUUGUAUUGUUUGCUUUCGGGUUUGGGUUCCCAUUCAUCUAAGGUAGGCGCUCGGACCAUUAUUCAAAUAAUUCAGAGAUCUCUGACCCAAUCUCUGCCACUUGACACGCACGGGUCGUUGCAGCGGCAAAGGAUUAGCUUCAUUUAAUAAGCGCUAAUGAUGAGUUGCCUUCUGACACGGAUUGAUCUUUUCACGGAGCGGAGUUCACUUUUCUAGCUGUGCAGUGUGCAGUGUGUGCCGUGAGCAAACAUGCGGUAAACGGUAACGGUUGACUUUUGACACCCGCAACAAAGCGGUGAUAGAAAUGCACCCAAAUACCCGUGGCUCCCCGGCGCUAUGUGUGUGCACUUUACCGACUCUACUCCUGCGAGAAAUAUAACAAUGGGACGCGACAGUUGACAGUCUGACAGGCUGCAAAAUUCACGUAUAACAUGGGACAGAUGCAGCAGCUCAGAUUUAGUAUUUCCCAAAUGUGCUUCAAAUUAAAUUACUCCACAAAAGUGCAGCUAAUUCAAUUGCACAUCAAAUAUGCAACAUUGUGUGGAGCAUUU